AAUCAACGCUGGCGGCGUGCCUAACACAUGCAAGUCGAACGAGAAAGUGGAGCAAUCCAUGAGUAAAGUGGCGCACGGGUGAGUAACACGUGACUAACCUACCCUUGAGUUCGGAAUAACUUCGGGAAACCGAGGCUAAUACCGGAUAACAUCUACGGAUCAAAGGAGCAAUUCGCUUAAGGAGGGGGUCGCGGCUGAUUAGCUAGUUGGUGAGGUAAUGGCUCACCAAGGCAGUGAUCAGUAUCCGGCCUGAGAGGGCGCACGGACACACUGGAACUGAAACACGGUCCAGACUCCUACGGGAGGCAGCAGUGGGGAAUUUUGCACAAUGGGGGAAACCCUGAUGCAGCAACGCCGCGUGGAGGAUGAAGCCCCUUGUGGCGUAAACUCCUUUCGACCGGGACGAUAAUGACGGUACCGGUGGAAGAAGCCCCGGCUAACUCUGUGCCAGCAGCCGCGGUAAUACAG
rnacentral:rRNA from 1 species